rfam:Triticum aestivum genome assembly, contig: Triticum_aestivum_CS42_TGACv1_scaffold_031591_1BL
GUAUUGCUCCCUCCGUCCGAAAAAGCUUGUCCCUCAAAUGGAUGUAUCUAGAUACAUCCAUUUGAAGGACAAGCUUUUUCGGACGGAGGGAGUACUUA